rnacentral:rRNA from 1 species
GUCGAACGAGAAGGGACUGCUUGCAGUCCCGAGUAGAGUGGCGCACAGGGUGAGUAACACGUGGAUAAUCUACCUUUGAAUUUGGAAUAACUAUUCGAAAGGAUAGCUAAUACUUAGAUAAAGUCUUUUUAACCUUGGUUGGGAAGAUGAAAGACAGCCUCUUCUUGAAAGCUGUUGUUUGAAGAUGAGUCCGCGCACCAUUAGCUUGUUGGUGGGGUAAAGGCCUACCAAGGCUACGAUGGUUAGCUGGUCUGAGAGGAUGAUCAGCCACACUGGAACUGACACACGGUCCAGACUCCUACGGGAGGCAGCAGUGAGGGAUUUUGCGCAAUGGGGGAAACCCUGACGCAGCAACGCCGCGUGAGCGAAGAAGGCCUUUGGGUCGUAAAGCUCUGUCGACAGGGAAGAAGUUACAAUAUAUAAAUAGUGUAUUGUAUUGACGGUACCUGUAGAGGAAGCAUCGGCUAACUCCGUGCCAGCAGCCGCGGUAAUACGGGGGAUGCAAGCGUUAUUCGGAAUCAUUGGGCGUAAAGGGCACGCAGGCGGAUCUGUCAGUCAGAUGUGAAAGCC